rnacentral:rRNA from 1 species
GACGAACGCUGGCGGCGUGCUUAACACAUGCAAGUCGAACGGAAAGGCCCUGCUUUUGUGGGGUGCUCGAGUGGCGAACGGGUGAGUAACACGUGAGUAACCUGCCCUUGACUUUGGGAUAACUUCAGGAAACUGGGGCUAAUACCGGAUAGGAGCUCCUGCUGCAUGGUGGGGGUUGGAAAGUUUCGGCGGUUGGGGAUGGACUAGCGGCUUAUCAGCUUGUUGGUGGGGUAGUGGCUUACCAAGGCUUGGACGGGUAGCCGGCCUGAGAGGGUGACCGGCCACAUUGGGAUUGAGAUACGGCCCAGACUCCUACGGGAGGCAGCAGUGGGGAAUAUUGCACAAUGGGCGGAAGCCUGAUGCAGCAACGCCGCGUGCGGGAUGACGGCCUUCGGGUUGUAAACCGCUUUCGCCUGUGACGAAGCGUGAGUGACGGUAAUGGGUAAAGAAGCACCGGCUAACUACGUG